CCUACGGGAGGCAGCAGUAAGGAAUAUUGGUCAAUGGACGAAAGUCUGAACCAGCCAUGCCGCGUGAAGGAUUAAGGCCCUCUGGGUUGUAAACUUCUUUUAUCUGGGACGAAAAAAGGGUAUUCUUACUCACUUGACGGUACCAGAGGAAUAAGCACCGGCUAACUCCGUGCCAGCAGCCGCGGUAAUACGGAGGGUGCAAGCGUUAUCCGGAUUUACUGGGUUUAAAGGGUGCGUAGGUGGGCUUGUAAGUCAGUGGUGAAAUCUCCGGGCUUAACCCGGAAAUUGCCAUUGAUACUAUAGGUCUUGAAUUAUCUGGAGGUAAGCGGAAUAUGUCAUGUAGCGGUGAAAUGCUUAGAUAUGACAUAGAACACCAAUUGCGAAGGCAGCUUACUACGGAUAUAUUGACACUGAGGCACGAAAGCGUGGGGAUCAAACAGGAUUAGAUACCCUGGUAGUCCACGCCCUAAACGAUGGAUACUCGACAUCAGCGAUACACUGUUGGUGUCUGAGCGAAAGCAUUAAGUAUCCCACCUGGGAAGUACGAUCGCAAGAUUGAAACUCAAAGGAAUUGACGGCNGAGAGNGCGAGACGACGACGAGGGAGGAGG
rnacentral:rRNA from 1 species